rnacentral:rRNA from 1 species
UGGGGGAUAUUGCACAAUGGGCGAAAGCCUGAUGCAGCGACGCCGCGUGGGGGAUGAAGGCUUUCGGGUUGUAAACCUCUUUCGCUAUCGAACAAGGCCCGCUUAGGGUGGGUUGAGGGUAGGUGGAGAAGAAGCGCCGGCUAACUACGUGCCAGCAGCCGCGGUAAUACGUAGGGCGCGAGCGUUGUCGGGAAUUAUUGGGCGUAAAGGGCUGGGAGGCGGCUUGUUGCGCCUGCUGUGAAAACGCGGGGCUUAACUUCGCGCGUGCAGUGGGUACGGGCAGGCUUGAGUGUGGUAGGGGUGACUGGAAUUCCAGGUGUAGCGGUGGAAUGCGCAGAUAUCUGGAGGAACACCGAUGGCGAAGGCAGGUCACUGGGCCAUUACUGACGCUGAGGAGCGAAAGCAUGGGUAGCGAACAGG